rnacentral:rRNA from 1 species
AUACGGAGGGUGCAAGCGUUAAUCGGAAUUACUGGGCGUAAAGGGCGCGUAGGCGGCCGUAUAAGUCGGAUGUGAAAGCCCCGGGCUUAACUUGGGAAUUGCAUUCGAUACUGUGCGGCUAGAGUGUGGCAGAGGAAAGCGGAAUUCCCGGUGUAGCGGUGAAAUGCGUAGAUAUCGGGAGGAACAUCAGUGGCGAAGGCGGCUUUCUGGGUCAACACUGACGCUGAGGCGCGAAAGCGUGGGGAGCAAACAGGAUUAGAAACCCCAGUAGUCC